CUUCAGGUCUGGGACAACAGUUGGAAACACUGCUAAUACCGGAUGUGCCGAGAGGUGAAAGGCUUGCUGCCUGAAGAUGAGCUUGCGUCUGAUUAGCUAGUUGGUGGGGUAAGAGCCUACCAAGGCGACGAUCAGUAGCUGGUCUGAGAGGAUGAUCAGCCACACUGGGACUGAGACACGGCCCAGACUCCUACGGGAGGCAGCAGUGGGGAAUUUUCCGCAAUGGGCGAAAGCCUGACGGAGCAAUACCGCGUGAGGGAGGAAGGCUCUUGGGUUGUAAACCUCUUUUCUCAGGGAAGAAAAAAAUGACGGUACCUGAGGAAUAAGCAUCGGCUAACUCCGUGCCAGCAGCCGCGGUAAUACGGAGGAUGCAAGCGUUAUCCGGAAUGAUUGGGCGUAAAGGGUCCGCAG
rnacentral:rRNA from 1 species